GUUUGCUGGCACUGAAACAGAGAGGCUGGUCUGUUUUAAUAUUUAAGCAGAAGACACAGUUCUUUUUAAAGAUUUUGACAGAGAGCCAGCACACACAAGCAGAGGGAGUAACAGAGAGCAGCUCUCCUAGCAGUAAGGUGCAAGCAGGGAUCCAUCUCGUGAUCCUGGGAUCGGGACCUGAGCCAAAAGCAGACAUUUAACUGACUGAGCCACUCAGGUGCCCAGAAGACUCAGUUCUCGUUGACUCAUCAAACUGGAAGCGCUCUCCUGUCAAGAAUAUACUGGACUAUGUAGCAUACAAAUUUUUUUAUAUGUUAGUAAUUCAACACAAUAGAAUUGAUCAGAAUUCCCACUUGUAGGGCACAAAAUCAGAGCAAGUAACAUAUUCAUACAUUCUUCUGCAUCCCAGCAAUCAAAAUAAUUUUAAUCAAGAUACAGCAUUUUCUACUGAAAACACUACAAUUAGCAGAGGUGCCUGGUACCUUAGUCUCAGGUCAGACUCUUUUUGGCUCAGGUCAUGAUUUAAGUCAUGAACCUGCUUAAAAUUUUCUAUCUGCGGGAGCCCUGGGUGGCUCAGUGGUUUAGCACCUGCCUUUGGCCUAGGGCAUGAUCCUGGAGUCCUGGGAUCCAGUCCCACGUCUGGCUCCCUGCAUGAAGCCUGCUUCUCCGCUCCCCACCCCCCAUGAAUAAAUAAAAUCUUAAAAAAAAAAAAUUUCUAUCUGCCCCUCUGCUCAACACCUCCCUCUUGCGAGCACUUUCGCUCUUAAAAAAAGCAAUUGCAUAGGUAUACCACAUAUUAAUACUAUUUCUGUAAUUGAUUUUGACUUUGUUUUUGAAAGUUGAAUUGUUCCCUUUGUUCUAACCAUUCACUUUUACAUCUAAUUUAGUAUUGAUAAUUGUAGAUUUUCCUUAGGGCUUCCUGAGUUUUAGGGGCAGUCUCCCUUAUACAAAUAGCGUAUUAGAAAAUUAUGCAUGUCCUUUUAUACCUAUGGCAUCAAACACAAAAGUGAGUUAAACGAACCUAUCCAGAACUUUUUUUUUUUUUUUUUUUUUCCUAUCCAGAACUUAAUUCUAAUAGAUCAUUCUACAGAAAAUUGUGAAUUUACACUCCCACCAGCACUACACAAAAGGUCUCACUGAAUUACCAAGGUAUUUAUAACUCACCAAUUUAACACGCCAUAGUUUACUCUAUGAAAAGCUUAACAGCUAUUUUAGUAUUUGUUGCCUAUUUACCUCAGGGUUAUUUUCCUCCCCAAACUGGGCACUCUAAUAGGUAUGCUAUAUUGGUUGUAAAUACUCAACUUUGAAAUUACUGCACCAUAAUUUAAAAAAAUAUUUUCUUGUCCCCAGUAUUGGGCCUGCCACGGUGUUCUAAGCACUUCAAUUAUGCUACAUCUCUUACUAUUAGGAGAAACCCGUUGGGCGUGCACAUUCGCACAAUGAUAUGUGGUAUUCCUUAUUCAAUCAACCCUCUUCAAAAGUAUUUUGUUUCCGAUUUCUUGAAGUCACGAACAAUUCUACAAGAAACCAGCUUGUACAGACUGGGCAGUAGAGCACAGAAGAGGAAGAGAAAUCUGAAGAACAAGCCUAGUGAGAAUACCAGCUUCCCAAAUAAUCAGGGGUGUUAACUUGGGCAAUGUACUUAAAAGUGCUUGUUUCCUCAUCUAUAUAAUACAGGAAUAAGAGCACCUGCCCUUAUGGUCAUUAUCAGAAUGCAGUCAAGGCUUUCAAACUGAUUACAGUGUGUCUGGCACCGAGCAAGUACUACUUAUCUAAGUGGCUACUUGGGUGCAUUAAUGUUAAAUAUUACAAUAUCUCUAAAAUACAAGUUGUUUCUCCCUUAUCCCAUUAGGCCAGUUAUUUCCUAAAGUGGCAUCCUGCUAAUUGUUACCCCAGGUAUUUUCUCCCUUUCUUCUGUGGUGUAGUUUUUUACUGGGAACAUGACCACACAGCAGUGGAUCAUUUUUUUCUAGCUUUCCUUGCAAGUAAAUAUUGUUUCAAGAUUAAAAAAAGGCCAAUGUCAGGAGAAGUAAUAAAAUCUUAACUAUGUGUAUCAGCAUCAGUAUCUCAGUAUGUGCUUCCCUUGUGCCCUCUCCUGUUUCCUCAGGCUAGAAGAUCAGCAUCAGAGCAAGCACUUUUGGCCUCAGAAAUGGAAGCUACCUUCUGAGUACAGAACGGCUUACCUCUGGCCUGCAAUCUGGAAGAAAAGUAAAGCUGUUUAACACCUAAUACCUUCUUAGAAGUCACUGUUAACAGCACUUUAUAAACUGAAGCCUACUAUGUCCAGCAAAUAACUUAAGGUGAGUGGCUCAAGACCUAAAAGAAACAGAACAUGUACUCAGGAAAAAAAAAAAAAAGU
rnacentral:lncRNA from 1 species